CGAUAUAGCUUCAACCAAUCAAAAAGCUGAUAGGCGAUUCGGUGCGCAUGCCCAUGACAUGGCGUCAGUUUAUUCUUGAAAAUCGUGGUAGCAGGUUGCAUUUCAUCGGCAGUGAUUAAUUUAAUUCUUAUUUGUGCAAAUUAUUGUUUGAUGAGUUUAAAAGUGUGACCGUAAUAAUGAAAAGUCUUUUCAAGAAGUUAAUGGUUUGCGUUCAUAGAUUUCGAUUUAUCGAAUUGUCGAACAAAUUCUUAUCUCAAUUUAAUUCGAUAUAUUGAAAUCGCUACGCGUUCGAGAUAUCAUUCUAUUCUCGAAAGUUGUGACACUUAGACGCCGCUUCAUUUCAGAUUAACAUCUAACUGGUGAAGUGACUUUCAAGGCGGGAAAAAGAGAUUAAAUAUGGACGCCACAACGAACAUUUCAACGAUGUUCAAUUUGAUAACUUUUCAUAACGGACUGGUAAUGUUUGAUUUGUUAUAUUAGAAACAAAUACGAUUAUUGUUUAUGCUUUUUAAGUAAUUUAUAAUAUAUUAAUUAGGAUAACAUAUAU